CCUACGGGCGGCUGCAGUGGGGAAUAUUGGACAAUGGGGGGAACCCUGAUCCAGCCAUGCCGCGUGUGUGGAGAAGGCCCUCGGGUUGUAAAGCACUUUCAGUGAGGAAGAACGCCUGGUGGUUAAUACCCAUCAGGAAAGACAUCACUCACAGAAGAAGCACCGGCUAACUCCGUGCCAGCAGCCGCGGUAAUACGGAGGGUGCGAGCGUUAAUCGGAAUUACUGGGCGUAAAGCGCGCGUAGGUGGCUUGAUAAGCCGGUUGUGAAAGCCCCGGGCUCAACCUGGGAACGGCAUCCGGAACUGUCAAGCUAGAGUGCAGGAGAGGAAGGUAGAAUUCCCGGUGUAGCGGUGAAAUGCGUAGAGAUCGGGAGGAAUACCAGUGGCGAAGGCGGCCUUCUGGACUGACACUGACACUGAGGUGCGAAAGCGUGGGUAGAAAACAGGAUUAGAUACCCCGGUAGUC
rnacentral:rRNA from 1 species